AAAGAUUUAGUUUAAAAAAAACAUUAACUUGUCAAGUUAAAAAUAUUAAAUAAAAUAAUCUUUA
rnacentral:tRNA from 1 species